rnacentral:rRNA from 1 species
UACGUAGGGUGCGAGCGUUAAUCGGAAUUACUGGGCGUAAAGCGUGCGCAGGCGGUGAUGUAAGACCGAUGUGAAAUCCCCGGGCUUAACCUGGGAACUGCAUUGGUGACUGCAUUGCUGGAGUAUGGCAGAGGGGGGUGGAAUUCCACGUGUAGCAGUGAAGUGCGUAGAGAUGUGGAGGAACACCGAUGGCGAAGGCAGCCCCCUGGGCCAAUACUGACGCUCAUGCACGAAAGCGUGGGGAGCAAACAGG